GUAACAAGGUCUCAGUAGGUGAACCUGCGGAGGGAUCAUUACACAAUAACAAGGCGGGCUGGACACCCCCAGCCGGGCACUGCUUCACGGCGUGCGCGGCUGGGCCGGCCCUGCUGAAUUAUUCACCCGUGUCUUUUGCGUACUUCUUGUUUCCUGGGUGGGCUCGCCCGCCAUCAGGACCAACCACAAACCUUUUGCAAUAGCAAUCAGCGUCAGUAACAACGUAAUUAAUUACAACUUUCAACAACGGAUCUCUUGGUUCUGGCAUCGAUGAAGAACGCAGCGAAAUGCGAUACGUAGUGUGAAUUGCAGAAUUCAGUGAAUCAUCGAAUCUUUGAACGCACAUUGCGCCCUUUGGUAUUCCAAAGGGCAUGCCUGUUCGAGCGUCAUUUGUACCCUCAAGCUUUGCUUGGUGUUGGGCGUCUUUUGUCUCCAGUUCGCUGGAGACUCGCCUUAAAGUCAUUGGCAGCCGGCCUACUGGUUUCGGAGCGCAGCACAAGUCGCGCUCUUUGCCAGCCAAGGUCAGCGUCCAGCAAGCCUUUUUUUUCAACCUUUGACCUCGGAUCAGGUAGGGAUACCCGCUGAACUUAAGCAUAUCAAUAA
rnacentral:misc_RNA from 1 species